rnacentral:lncRNA from 1 species
CAAAUAGACACACAGAGGCACCCAAGUCACGAGAGAAUUCUGUUGCACUCAACCUCUGUAACUGAUUUCUAAUUACUGGUUAUAUCAGAGUUGCUUUUACAUAGUAACGGCACAUGGGCGAUAAUUUGUGUUUGUGGAUAGAGGUUACCAAAGGCAAGUGAUAUGAUCUGUUUAAAAAAACCUUUAUGCUUUAUGGAAUGUAGAAUAUUCUCAGGGUAAAAUGGUUCAGAGAAGGCUCGAAUGUGGUGCCGAGGUCAGAGCCAGCAGGCAGCGCUUUGCUGUCACUUUGGAAAGAUGCAAGAAAACUCCUAGCAAAAAAGGAGUGAGCUUUAGUAGGACUUCAGGGUGUUAAGGCACAGAGAGAAAGAGAAGCAGAGCUGAUUGUGGAGCUGUGCAGUGGGCUGGGGGCUGUCCCUCAGGCACAGGGUGCGGGGGUGUGCGGUGCCAUCCCUGCAGGGUUCCACCGCCCCGCCUUCCUCCUGCAUCCCCUCCAGCUGGCUGUGGGAGGUGUGCAGCUUCAGUGCCAUCUGCUAAGGAGGUGUGAGAGAACGGAGGGCUUUUUCCAUCUUCUAUUUCCGGAAAGGAGGGGAAAAAAUGGAAUUCGUGCAUGUUUCGGUGUCAGUGUGCAGCUUACAGUAAUAACAGCAAAACCCCAUGUAGAAGAUGUUGGAGUUGUAACAUACACUUGUACAGAAAUAUGAAAUAAUUGUUAUAGUCUAUUCUUUUCAAUGUUAACAAAACAGUAUUUUUUUUUUCUCCCAAAGCAAAUCUCUGUUACAGCCAAAACUGAUGGAAUUGAUAGCCAACUCUGUGCUCCCUCUUGUACUAAUGAUGUGUCGUUACUGCUUUGAUUUCCUUUGCAUAGUGGCCCGGUGAUGGUAAUCCAGAAGCACCUGUUGGGUGAUUCCAGUGCAUGUGCUUUCACACGGCUCCAGCACCCAGACGUGUGAAAUGCUGAAUGACUCUCGCAGCUGAAUCACCGCGUUUCUUCAGGUUUCCCAGGCGGAGCCAGCGCUGCCUCUCAAAUCCUUAUCAAUAUGCAAGCGAGAGCAAGGUCCAGUCUGGGCUGAAUGCCAGCGAGGCACUAUGCUUAAGUAGUAAGUAUGAUUAUCUUGCUAAUAAGCACCAACUUCGAAUUAAGCUCAUGUUUAUAGAUACAUAGGAUGUUUAAAUGUUAAGUGGCAUUAAUUAAAAUCCCGAUGAGGUUCUGUCAUAGGUAAUGGCACAAUAAUAAAGAAUUGUUUGUUCCUUUAGUAUUGUGGUUA